UGAGUGCGGCUGUAUCCUGAAUGCCAAGGAAUCUGUUUGGACCCUGGAGAAGGGCCUAUACCAGGAUCUAAUGGAGCUGCAUACUCUAGGCUCUAGCCAAGGAAACCAAUAUCUCUGAGAAUUCCACCCUGUGUCACAUACAAGUGAGCCCCCAGGCUGGGUGGGUACCUGUUUAAGAGGCUCAGUCUGACACUGGACUACAAUCUAGGCCUUCCUCUAUGACUUGGGUUCAUCCUGAUGCUUUGGCUCCCACCCCAAACCUGAAAAAGCUUACAGUCUGUCUGGGGAAGAAAGACAUACAAGGAUUUCAGCAGAAACUCUUGCUAUUAAGCUGUGGACUUACCCCAGUGACUCUGAAGGUAUCCAGAGCCCAGGGGGAAGAACAGGGUGGUGGAUGAUGCUGGUAGCCAGGAGAUGGGCUGAGAUAUGAAUCUCUCUCCAAGGCAAGCAUCAGAACCUCCCACUCUCUCUACGACUCACAGGGCCAGGAUGAGCAAUCGGCACUCUCUAGAUGCUCCACUGUCACUUCCAGACCAACGCUCUGCUGCCACUACUCAACCUCUCCUUUGAAGUUCACAUCUUCUGAUUCUAUAACUUUCUCUGACCUUUCAGAGUCAUCUGCCAACUUCAGAGACACACUUCCACGUUCCUCAAGGAGUCUAGUAACCUGGUUCAUGAUCAUUUCUUUUGUGAUGGUAACAACCAUGAAUAUAACAAGAACCUGGGCUCUAUUAUUUUUCUGAGUUUCUCAAUUCCAAUAGCCUCUACCUCCAUUCAACUUUGGCAGCUGAUCUGCGUGACUGGAUACUUUGCUAUCCCCAGGACUCAAACCAUCUCCAAAAUGUUGAAUUUUCAGAACUGCCUCUCCAACCACAAUCUCCUCUUCUCCUACCCUCCCACUCCCCUAAUCCCAAUGGACCUGUUUCUCAUCAUCUACAUUUACUGAACACCUAGCAUGUGCAAGGACCCUAUGAUAAGCACUGGGGAUAAAGAGAUAUAUAACAUAGUUAAUUCCCCCCCCCCAA